rnacentral:rRNA from 1 species
UACGGAGGAUGCAAGCGUUAUCCGGAAUGAUUGGGCGUAAAGCGUCCGCAGGUGGCUAUGUAAGUCUGCUGUUAAAGAGUCUAGCUCAACUAGAUAAGAGCAGUGGAAACUACAUGGCUAGAGUGCGUUCGGGGCAGAGGGAAUUCCUGGUGUAGCGGUGAAAUGCGUAGAGAUCAGGAAGAACACCGGUGGCGAAGGCGCUCUGCUAGGCCGCAACUGACACUUAGGGACGAAAGCUAGGGGAGCGAAUGGG